UUAUUGUUCCACAUUUCAAGAAUAACUUCUGUUGAACUAUUGAAAUUUUGAUGGAUUUUUGGUGUUAUAUUCGAGAAUAAAUCUCGAGCCACAUUUUAUAUAAUAGGAUUACUAGUCCAAGGCUAAAUCUCGUCUUCCUCAUUUGCUCAUGAGAGCUUAUUCAAGAUUGCUAGUCCAGGCUAAAUCCCUUCGGUUACAUAUGCUCAAAAGAGCUUAAGCUGGAUUACCCGUCUAGGGUAAAUCCACUUUAUAAUGUAGGCUCGAGAGACUUAAC
rnacentral:lncRNA from 1 species